rnacentral:lncRNA from 1 species
UAUAUGGAGGAAUAGAAUGGCACAAGUGAUUAAAGAAGUGUAGAGUAUUUCUCAAGUCUGAAAAGGGUGGGAACUCCAUCAUGAUUUCAUUUUCAACUCUACAGCAUCCCCUUCCUUGAAAUUUUUGUUUUUUUACUGUAGUCUCAGGCUUCUGAGUGUCCAGUGCCAUCAGGUUGCUCCCAACCCCCUAGUGUGCACUCAAUCCAGGUGUGUUCAAAUCUCCAAUGCUAAAAAAUUUACCUAUCACCUCUUCACCUUCAAUCAAAAUUACUACUUUCUCAGUGCAGAUUAUCAAAACUUGAUAUUAAGAUGAAAACAGUCUGAUAGAACUAAUUCCCAUUAAGG